rnacentral:rRNA from 1 species
CCGAAUGCAAGUCGAGCGGUAACAGGAGAAAGCUUGGCUUCUCGACUGACGAGCGGCGGACGGGUUGAGGUAAUACUUAGGAAAUCUACCUAGUAUGGGGGAUAGCUCGGGGAAACUCGAAUUAAUACCGCAUACGACCUACGGGAGAAAGGGGGCAACGUUGUUGCUCUCGCUAUUAGAUGAGCCUAAGUCGGAUUAGCUAGAUGGUGGGUAAAGGCUACCAUGGCGACGAUCUGUAGCUGGUCUGAGAGGAUGAUCAGCCACACCGGGACUGAGACACGGCCCGGAACUCCUACGGGAGGGCAGCAGUGGGGAAUAUUGGACAAUGGGGGCAACCCUGAUCCAGCCAUGCCGCGUGUGUGAAGAAGGCCUUUGGUUGUAAAGCACUUUAAGCAGUGAAGAAGACUCCAUGGUUAAUACCCAUGGACGAUGACAUUAGCUGCAGAAUAAGCACCGGCUAACUCUGUGCCAGCAGCCGCGGUAAUACAGAGGGUGCCAAGCGUUAAUCGGAAUUACUCGGUCGACGCGGCCG